rnacentral:lncRNA from 1 species
AGUGGCUCCAAGAUACUUAACAGAAUCCUUUGCUACAAUAGGUUGACCGUUACAUGAAACAUUUAAAUUAGGUUGAGACUUUAACCUUGAAAAACAACAAAGGGCCUAGAAUAGAGCCCUGGGGGACACCGCAUGAAAUAGUUGCACGAGAAGAGUGACUGCCACUGACAUCAACCAACUGAUGUCUGUCAGACAAAUAUGAAGUAAGCCAUUGAACAGCAACCUCUGAG